ACACCAUGGUGCGGCUCAGGCUACG
rnacentral:piRNA from 1 species